rnacentral:rRNA from 1 species
GAUGAACGCUGGCGGUAUGCCUAACACAUGCAAGUCGAACGAAAUCUUCGGAGUUAGUGGCGGACGGGUGAGUAACACGUGAGAAUCUGCCUGUUGGUCGGGGAUAACAGUUGGAAACGACUGCUAAUACCGGAUGAGCCGAAAGGUAAAAAUUUAUUGCCAACAGAAGAGCUCGCGCCUGAUUAGCUAGAUGGUGGGGUAAAAGCCUACCAUGGCGACGAUCAGUAGCUGGUCUGAGAGGAUGAGCAGCCACACUGGGACUGAGACACGGCCCAGACUCCUACGGGAGGCAGCAGUGGGAAUUUUCCGCAAUGGGCGAAAGCCUGACGGAGCAAUACCGCGUGAGGGAGGAAGGUUCUUGGAUCGUAAA